CGCCGCCACCGUCGCCGGAACCCCAAUCUUCACCAAAAUUUUCAGAUUUUCUCCUCUUCAUUACCUCUUCCCAUUUCUCCAACCAAAAUCAUGAAAUUUGGUCAUUUAAUCCUCCAAAAACCCUAGAACCCGAAGCCAAUUUGGGGGAUUUUGUGAUUUCUUCAUUCCAAGUUCAAAUCAAGAGGCUAGGCUACGGGUUUGGCAAGGAUUUGUGGUGAAGAAGGCCAAGGAGGAGGAAUAGGCCGUGGGUUUUGAAGAAGAAAGGGUAA